rnacentral:rRNA from 1 species
UGGGGAAUUUUGGACAAUGGGGGAAACCCUGAUCCAGCCAUCCCGCGUGUGCGAUGAAGGCCUUCGGGUUGUAAAGCACUUUUGGCAGGAAAGAAACGUCGCGGGUUAAUACCCCGCGAAACUGACGGUACCUGCAGAAUAAGCACCGGCUAACUACGUGCCAGCAGCCGCGGUAAUACGUAGGGUGCAAGCGUUAAUCGGAAUUACUGGGCGUAAAGCGUGCGCAGGCGGUUCGGAAAGAAAGAUGUGAAAUCCCAGAGCUUAACUUUGGAACUGCAUUUUUAACUACCGGGCUAGAGUGUGUCAGAGGGAGGUGGAAUUCCGCGUGUAGCAGUGAAAUGCGUAGAUAUGCGGAGGAACACCGAUGGCGAAGGCAGCCUCCUGGGAUAACACUGACGCUCAUGCACGAAAGCGUGGGGAGCAAACAGGAUUAGAUACCCUGGUAGUCCACGCCCUAAACGAUGUCAACUAGCUGUUGGGGCCUUCGGGCCUUGGUAGCGCAGCUAACGCGUGAAGUUGACCGCCUGGGGAGUACGGUCGCAAGAUUAAAACUUAAAUGAAUUGACGGGGU